rnacentral:rRNA from 1 species
GACAGAGGUCGCAAGCGUUGUUCGGAUUUACUGGGCGUAAAGGGCGUGUAGGCGGAUGUGCAAGUCGGGGGUGAAAGGCCAGGGGUCAACCCGGGACGGUCUCCCGAAACUGAGCAUCUCGAGAAAGUCAGAGGCAGGGGGAAUUCCAGGUGUAGAGGUGAAAUUCGUAGAGAUCUGGAGGAACACCGGCGGCGAAGGCGGCCUGCUGGGGCUUUUCUGACGCGGAGGCGCGAACGCGUGGGGAGCAAACAGG